rnacentral:rRNA from 4 species
CCCAGACAGCCAGGAUGUUGGCUUAGAAGCAGCCAUCAUUUAAAGAAAGCGUAAUAGCUCACUGGUCGAGUCGGCCUGCGCGGAAGAUGUAACGGGGCUAAACCAUGCACCGAAGCUGCGGCAGCGACACUGUGUGUUGUUGGGUAGGGGAGCGUUCUGUAAGCCUGUGAAGGUGGCCUGUGAGGGUUGCUGGAGGUAUCAGAAGUGCGAAUGCUGACAUAAGUAACGAUAAAGCGGGUGAAAAGCCCGCUCGCCGGAAGACCAAGGGUUCCUGUCCAACGUUAAUCGGGGCAGGGUGAGUCGACCCCUAAGGC